AACCUAUGAUGUGGACAAUGAACCAAAAGCAAUUUAAAUCAUUCCCAAGCUUCAUAGACCUCACCUUCUAUUUGUGUGAAUGUAGCCAUCUUACUACUCAAUUC